rnacentral:rRNA from 1 species
UACGGAGGGUGCAAACGUUGCUCGGAAUCAUUGGGCGUAAAGCGCACGUAGGCGGCCUGUUAAGUCAGGGGUGAAAUCCUGGAGCUCAACUCCAGAACUGCCUUUGAUACUGGCGAGCUUGAGUCCGGGAGAGGUGAGUGGAACUGCGAGUGUAGAGGUGAAAUUCGUAGAUAUUCGCAAGAACACCAGUGGCGAAGGCGGCUCACUGGCCCGGUACUGACGCUGAGGUGCGAAAGCGUGGGGAGCAAACAGG